UACGUAGGGUGCGAGCGUUAAUCGGAAUUACUGGGCGUAAAGCGUGCGCAGGCGGUUCGUUGUGUCCGAUGUGAAAGCCCCGGGCUUAACCUGGGAAUGGCAUUGGAAACUGGCGGGCUUGAGUGCGGCAGAGGGGGGUGGAAUUCCGCGUGUAGCAGUGAAAUGCGUAGAGAUGCGGAGGAACACCGAUGGCGAAGGCAGCCCCCUGGGUCGACACUGACGCUCAGGCAUGAAAGCGUGGGGAGCAAACAGG
rnacentral:rRNA from 1 species